GGUCUCCUGCAUUGCAGGCGGAUUUGUUACCAUCUGAGCCACCAGAGAAGCCCCUUGUUUGCUUAGAAAUUUUCCUUCGAGAAGCCCAGAGAGCUUUAAUGGAUCUUACUGAAUGGGUCUUACCCGCCUUAUAGGUCCCGAUGCAGCAAAGAUACCUAGAGUGAACAAGAAACAAUACUGUUGACAUCUCCAGAAGUAUCAUCUAAAGUAAUCAGAUCUUCAGUGGAAAACAACACACCUAUAAGUGUUCUGCCAUGGGCUGGCUUCACUGAGUUCUGCCUCUAGGCAAGGAGAGUCCUGAGAUUCAGAUGCGGGUAGCGGAAUGUUGAGAUGGUUCUGACCCAAACCUCUGGAGCCAGGAAUCCAAAUGUCAGUGUCUGCGGCAGUGGAGAGGCAAAUACUUGCCCAUCUUGGCUGUCUGAUGUAGACAAGAAUGAA
ensembl:lncRNA